rnacentral:rRNA from 1 species
AGUGAACGCUGGCGGUAGGCCUAACACAUGCAAGUCGAACGGCAGCACAGGAGAGCUUGCUCUCUGGGUGGCGAGUGGCGGACGGGUGAGGAAUACAUCGGAAUCUACUCUGUCGUGGGGGAUAACGUAGGGAAACUUACGCUAAUACCGCAUACGACCUACGGGUGAAAGCUGGGGUGCUUCUGACCUUGCGCGUUUGAAUGAGCCGAUGUCGGAUUAGCCAGUUGGCGGGGUAAAGGCCCACCAAGGCGACGAUCCGUAGCUGGUCUGAGAGGAUGAUCAGCCACACUGGAACUGAGACACGGUCCAGACUCCUACGGGAGGCAGCAGUGGGGAAUAUUGGACAAUGGGCGCAAGCCUGAUCCAGCCAUACCGCGUGGGUGAAGAAGGCCUUCGGGUUGUAAAGCCCUUUUGUUGGGAAAGAAAUCCAGCUGGCUAAUACCCGGUUGGGAUGACGGUACCCAAAGAAUAAGCACCGGCUAACUUCGUGCCAGCCGCCGCAGUAA